AAAGAAUUAGUUAAAAUAUAACAUUAAAUUGUCAAUUUAAAAUUAUUAAUAUAAUACUCUUUC
rnacentral:tRNA from 1 species